AUACUUUAAAGAGGCUGCGGUUAGCUAAGAGUACUUUAAUUAGGAAAGGGGCAACCGCCGAAGCAUAAGCUAGAAAUAGCUGUGCUGGGACUAUGUUUAAUAGACAUAGUACUGUUAUUAUGAGAUUGCCCAAUCUCAUAAUAUUGCGCUUUAUAGUGU
rnacentral:ncRNA from 2 species